UACGAGGGGGGCGAGCGUUGUUCGGAAUUAUUGGGCGGAAAGGGUGCGUAGGCGGUUCCGCAAGUCCUGUGUGAAAUCUUCGGGCUCAACUCGAAGUCUGCACGGGAAACUGCGGGGCUUGAGUGUGGGAGAGGUGAGUGGAAUUCCCGGUGUAGCGGUGAAAUUCGUAGAUAUUCGGAAGAACACCAGUGGCGAAGGCGGCUCGCUGGACAAAUAUUGACGCUGAGGUGCGAAAGCGUGGGGAGCAAACAGG
rnacentral:rRNA from 1 species